UACGUAGGGUGCAAGCGUUGUCCGGAAUUAUUGGGCGUAAAGAGCUCGUAGGCGGUCUGUCGCGUCGGAUGUGAAAACCCAGGGCUCAACCCUGGGCCUGCAUUCGAUACGGGCAGACUAGAGUUCGGUAGGGGAGACUGGAAUUCCUGGUGUAGCGGUGAAAUGCGCAGAUAUCAGGAGGAACACCGGUGGCGAAGGCGGCUACCUGGACAAUUGCUGACGCUCAGGCACGAAAGCGUGGGGAGCAAAAGGG
rnacentral:rRNA from 1 species